GAUGAAGAACGUAGCGAAAUGCGACAAGUAAUGUGAAUUGCAGAAUUCCGUGAAUCAUCGAAUCUUUGAACGCACAUUGCGCCCUCUGGUAUUCUGGAGGGCAUGCCUGUCCGAGCGUCAUUGCUAUACCUCAAGCCCGGCUUGUGUGAUGGACUCACUGUCUUAUUGGACAGUAGCCCCAAAGGCAGUGGCAGGGUCGCAGUCCGGUCUUUUAAAUGCGUAUGGGGCAUUGUCACCCGCUCUUGUAGGCCCGGCCGGCGCUUGCCGACACAUCAAUCUUUUUUCCAGGUUGACCUCGGAUCAGGUAGGGAUACCCGCUGAACUUAAGCAUAUCAAUAAGCGGAGGA
rnacentral:misc_RNA from 1 species